rnacentral:rRNA from 1 species
CCCGCAACGAGCGCAACCCUUAUCCUUUGUUGCCAGCGGUCCGGCCGGGAACUCAAAGGAGACUGCCAGUGAUAAACUGGAGGAAGGUGGGGAUGACGUCAAGUCAUCAUGGCCCUUACGACCAGGGCUACACACGUGCUACAAUGGCAUAUACAAAGAGAAGCGACCUCGCGAGAGCAAGCGGACCUCAUAAAGUAUGUCGUAGUCCGGAUUGGAGUCUGCAACUCGACUCCAUGAAGUCGGAAUCGCUAGUAAUCGUAGAUCAGAAUGCUACGGUGAAUACGUUCCCGGGCCUUGUACACACC